rnacentral:rRNA from 1 species
GACGAACCGUGCAAACGUUGUUCGGAAUCACUGGGCUUAAAGGGCGCGUAGGCGGCUCAGCAAGUCGGGGGUGAAAUCUUUCGGCUCAACCGGAAAAGUGCCUUCGAUACUGCGGAGCUCGAGGAAGAUAGGGGCCACGGGAACGACCAGUGGAGCGGUGAAAUGCGUUGAGAUUGGUAGGAACGCCGGUGGCGAAAGCGCGUGGCUGGAUCUUCCCUGACGCUGAGGCGCGAAAGCUAGGGGAGCAAACGGG